rnacentral:rRNA from 1 species
GGCGAAGCGCCGCUGAAGGCCGGGAGUAACUCUGACUCUCUUAAGGUAGCCAAAUGCCUUGCCGGGUAAGUUCCGGCGCGCAUGAAUGGAUCAACGAGGUCCCCACUGUCCUGACCAGGGGCCCCGUGAAGACACGGAGCCGGUGCACAGUCCGGCAACCCCCCGCAGGGCGAUAAGUCCCCGUGGAGCUUUACCGCAGCCUGGCGCUGGCCCCUGGGUUACGGUACGUAGCGUAGGUGGGAGCCCGUGAAGCUGUGCUCCCGGGCACAGUGGAGGCGGCAAUGAAACACCACCUAUCGUAACUCGGGGGCCUAACCCCCGGGUAGCCGGGGGGACAACGCUAGGUGGGCGGUUCGGCUGGGGCGGCACUCCCGCGAAAAGAUAACACGGGAGCCCAAAGGUCGGCUCAGGCGGGUCAGAGCUCCGCCGUAGAGUGCAAGGGCAAAAGCCGGCCUGACCGGACCCUUGAACACAAGGGGUUCGGACGGGAAACCGAGGCCUAGCGAACGCUCGUGCCCCCCUCGGUGGGGGCCGGGCAUGACAGAAAAGUUACCCCGGGGAUAACAGAGUCGUCGCGGGCGAGAGCUCCCAUCGACCCCGCGGUUUGCUACAUCGAUGUCGGCUCUUCCCAUCCUGGGAGUGCAGCAGCUCCCAAGGGUGGGGCUGCUCGCCCAUUAAAGGGGAACGUGAGCUGGGUUUAGACCGUCGUGAGACAGGUCGGACUCUACCCGCGGGGGGUGCGGGCCGCCUAAGGGGAAGCUGCCCUCAGUACGAGAGGAACGGGGCGGCGCGGCCUCUGGUUUACCGGUUGUCCUGGCGGGCAACGCCGGGCAGCUACGCCGCAAGGGGUAACCGCUGAAAGCAUCUAAGCGGGAACCCCUCCCCGAAAAGAGGCGGCCUGUCGCCACGGCUCUGCCGUGGCGGCACGGGCUCCCGUAGAAGACGGGGUUGAUGGGGCGGGGGUGUAAGCCCCAAGGGGUUGUCCCCGAGGGGUUCAGCCCGCCGCUCCCAAUCGCCCGACGCCGCAGUG